GAAGGUUUCGUGGUCUGAGUCGGCCGCGCCCAAGUCCAUUGGAACAUGGCGCCUGGGAGGGUGAGAGCCCCGUAUGGCGCACGCCGACUCUUUGUACACCGCGGCUCCGACGAGUCGAGUUGUUUGGGAAUGCAGCUCUAAGUGGGUGGUAAAUUCCAUCUAAAGCUAAAUAUUGGCGAGAGACCGAUAGCGAACAAGUACAGUGAUGGAAAGAUGAAAAGCACUUUGAAAAGAGAGUGAAACAGCACGUGAAAUUGUUGAAAGGGAAGGGCUUGCAAGCAGACACGGUUUUACCGGGCCAGCGUCGAAAAGGGGGGAGGAACAAGAACUCGAGAAUGUGGCGCGCACCUUCGGGCGCGCGUGUUAUAGCUCGUGUUGACGCCUCCAUCCCUUUUCGAGGCCUGCGAUUCUAGGACGCUGGCGUAAUGGUUGCAAGCCGC
rnacentral:rRNA from 1 species